rnacentral:tRNA from 1 species
CCUGGUGGCUCAGAUGGUAAAGCGUCUGCCUGCAAUGCGGGAGACCUAGGUUUAAUCCCUAGGUCAGGA